rnacentral:rRNA from 1 species
CCUACGGGAGGCAGCAGUGAGGAAUAUUGGUCAAUGGCCGGAAGGCUGAACCAGCCAUGCCGCGUGAAGGAAGAAGUAUUUCGGUAUGUAAACUUCUAUCAGCAGGGAAGAAAAUGACGGUACCUGACUAAGAAGCCCCGGCUAACUACGUGCCAGCAGCCGCGGUAAUACGUAGGGGGCAAGCGUUAUCCGGAUUUACUGGGUGUAAGGGGAGCGUAGGCGGUUUAGCAAGUCAGAAGUGAAAGCCCGGGGCUCAACUCCGGGACUGCUUUUGAAACUGUUGAACUAGAUUGCAGGAGAGGUAAGUGGAAUUCCUAGUGUAGCGGUGAAAUGCGUAGAUAUUAGGAGGAACACCAGUGGCGAAGGCGGCUUACUGGACUGUAAAUGACGCUGAGGCUCGAAAGCGUGGGGAGCAAACAGGAUUAGAUACCCGGGUAGUC